GAACGCGAAGAACCUUACCAGGGCUUGACAUGGGGGCGGCGGCGCCGGAGACGGCGCCUCCCUUUUUCGGGCGCCCCCGCAGGUGGUGCAUGGUUGUCGUCAGCUCGUGUCGUGAGAUGUUGGGUUAAGUCCCGCAACGAGCGCAACCCCUGUCCCGUGUUGCCAGCGCGUCGUGGCGGGGACUCUCGGGAGACUGCCGGGGUCAACUCGGAGGAGGGUGGGGACGACGUCAAAUCAUCAUGCCCCUGACGUCCUGGGCUUCACGCAUGCUACAAUGGCCGGUACAGAGGGUUGCGAUGCCGUGAGGCGGGGCGAAUCCCUUAAAGCCGGUCUCAGUUCGGAUCGAUGUCUGCAACUCGACACCGUGAAGUCGGAGUCGCUAGUAAUCGCAGAUCAGCAUUGCUGCGGUGAAUACGUUCUCGGGUCUUGUACACACC
rnacentral:rRNA from 1 species